AGUGAACGCUGGCGGUAGGCCUAACACAUGCAAGUCGAACGGCAGCACAGUAAGAGCUUGCUCUUACGGGUGGCGAGUGGCGGACGGGUGAGGAAUACAUCGGAAUCUACUUUUUCGUGGGGGAUAACGUAGGGACACUUACGCUAAUACCGCAUACGACCUACGGGUGAAAGCAGGAGAGCUUCGGACCUUGCGCGAUUGAAUGAGCCGAUGUCGGAUUAGCUAGUUGGCGUGGUAACGGCCCACCAAGGCGACGAUCCGUAGCCGGUCUGAGAGGAUGAUCAGCCACACUGGAACUGAGACACGGUCCAGACUCCUACGGGAGGCAGCAGUGGGGAAUAUUGGACAAUGGGCGCAAGCCUGACCCAGCAAUACCGCGUGGGUGAAGAGGGCCUUCGGGUUGUAAAGCCCUUUUGUUGGGAAAGAAAAGCAGCAGGUGAAUAUCCCGCUGUUCUGACGGUACCCAAAGAAUAAGCACCGGCUAACUUCGUG
rnacentral:rRNA from 1 species